rnacentral:rRNA from 1 species
GGAAUGGGAACGCGGGGAAUUGAAACAUCUUAGUACCCGCAGGAAAAGAAAUCAAUAGAGAUUCCCUUAGUAGGGGCGACCGAAAAGGGAACAGGGCAAACCGAACACUUUUUCGAAAGAAAAAGUGAAUGUGGGGUUUUAAGUCUCCUUAACUUCCAAAAGGGUGAAUUGAAGUCCUCUGGAAAGAGGCACCAUAGAGAGUGAUAGUCUCGUAAAUGAAACCCCAGAGGAAGAUUUGGAGAAUCUUAGAGUAAGGCUGGUUUGAUAUCCAGUAAGAAGAUGGGAGACACUAACUCCCAACCCUAAAUAUAAUUCUAGACCGAUAGCGAACUAGUACCGUGAGGGAAAGCUGAAAAGAACCCGUAAUAGGGUAUGAAAAGAACCUGAAGCCAAGUAGUACAGUAUCCGUUUUGAAGAACGGGGUAAGGAGUAUAGGUUUAUGGCAAGGUUAAUUCCUCUUUGUAGGAAGUAUCCGCAGCGAAAGCGAGUGUGAAAGCGCGUUAGUCAUAAGCCUAUUACCAGAAGCCGGACGAUCUAACCCUGGACAAGGUGAAGUGUAGCGAAAGCUGCAUGGAAGCCUGAACCGAAGCUGGGGUGCUAUCCGCUCGGAUGAUCCGGGGCUAGGGGUGAAAAGCCAAUCGAGUUCGGCAAUAGCUGGUUCCCCUCGAAAUGAGCCGUAGCUCAGCCUGGCCAAUACAGACUAACGUGUAAAGAUACUGAUUAGAUAGUAGGGGAGGAAACUCUUCGCUAUCCAGUCAAACUCAGAAGCGUUAGCCACUAUUUGGCUGGAGUGAGGGUUGCCGGGGAAAGCUCGGUGCCCUAGAGGGAAACAACCCUAACCAACAUUAAGGUCCCUAAAUGGUAACUAAGUAUAAGUAAGGGGUAUCUUUUCUAAAACAGCAGGUAGGUAGGCCUAGAAGCAGCCAUCCUUUAAAGAGUGCGUAACAGCUCACCUGCCUAGAAAAGUUGCCCUGAAAAUGGACGGGAUUAAGUUACCUACCGAUAUGUUGGAUUAUCUUUUUAGAUAAUGGUAGAGGGGCGUCUUGCAGGGGUGGAAGUUUCUCUUUAAGGAGAAAUGGACCCUGCAAGAAUGAGAAUCUUACCGAUAGUAGCAGCAAAGUGGUGUGAGAACCACCAUCGCCAUAAGAGGGCAAGGGUUCCCUACCAAUGACGAUCAGGUAGGGGUUAGUCCACAUCCUAAGAGAAUUGCUAACAUCCUUUCUCGAAGGAAAACGGGUUAAUAUUCCCGUACCUUUAGGAUCUUAUAUCUAAUCAGCAGAUUUGGGAUAAGCUAACGCAAGCUAAGCAUAGAAUCUUCUGGAGUCUCGUAAUGAGGAGAAGGAAGAGAAUAUGUGACAGGUCUCCUUAAUGGAGAUUUAGCUGAGUCCCAGAUCCACUGAAAACUGAUUAGAGUUGAUUCUAAAGAUGGUACCAAGAACCGACACAGGUGCCCUUGCUGAGUAGGCGAAGGUGUGAUGGGAUAAUCCAGCCUAGGGAACUCAGCAAGUUAGUGGUGUAUCUUCGGUAGAAACCAUGCCUAUCUUCUAUUUAAGAAAGGUAGGUCGCAGUGACAAAGGGAUCCCGACUGUUUAAUAAAAACGUAUCCGACUGCUAGCCCGAAAGGGUGUGUAUAGUCGGUGAAACCUGCCCAGUGCGGGUGUGUUAAACCAGGCAAAACCUGGCUAAGCCCCCGUAAACGGCGGCGGUAACUCUGACCGUCUUAUGGAAUGGUCAUUUGAUCUUAAUGAUAUAUGACCAUUCUGGGCAUAGGUAGCGUAAUCCCUUGCCGAUUAAACGUCGGCCUGCAUGAAGGUCAAACGAGGGUCCCGCUGUCCCAAGCUGGAACCCAGCGAACUCUCUGUCUGGUGUAUAGGCCAGAGAAUCCUAGCGGGAAGGGUAGUCCCUGUGGAGCUUUACUGCAGCCUGCUGCUGUGAUAAAUUUUGUAAUGUAAAGAGUAGAUAGAAGCCUUAUUCCAUAAGGAAUUAGGUGCCAGUGUAACACUAUCCUUUACAAAAUUUAUCGCUUACCUCUAAGGAGGGACACCAGUUGGUAGGCAGUUUGGGUGGGGCGCCACACCCCUAACAAUUCAUCAGGGGUGCCCAAAGGUCAGCUCACCAAGGUCAGAAAUCUUGGGUAGAAUGUAAACGUAAAAGCUGGCUUAACUGGAUUCCACAAAGCAAAGAAUCCAGGUGCGAAAGCAUGGGUUAACGAUAUGCGGAUUUGCAUUAGUGGCAACCCGUAACGACAGAAAAGCUACCCCAGGGAUAAUGGAGCCGUGGCCCCCAAGAGUACAUAUCGACGGGGCGCGUUGCUACUCCGUUGUUGGCUCGUCUCCUCCUGGGUGUGCACAAGCACCCAAGGGUGCAGGGGUUUACUGCUUAAAGAGGCACGUUAGCUGAGUUAAGAACGGUGUGAGCCAGUUCAGUCCAUAUCUGCUAGGAGUGUUAUUUUCUGAUAGGAAGGGAGCUAUAGUACGAAAGGAACAAGCUCUCGUGGCUUCUGGUGUACCUGUCGUGAUUGCGCCGCCGGGUAGCCACGCCAUCGUGGAUAAGGGCUGAAAGCAUCUAAGCCCGAAGCCACUCUAAAAAAUAGAAAAUCAUGGGAUACUCGAUAGAAGACGAGGUUAAUAGGCAGGAGGUGUAAGCACCAAGGUUCGCCAAGGUGUUCAGCCUACCUGUACUAA